AGUCUGCAACUCGACUACAUGAAGCUGGAAUCGCUAGUAAUCGCGAAUCAGCAUGUCGCGGUGAAUACGUUCCCGGGUCUUGUACACACCGCCCGUCACACCAUGGGAGUUGGUAACGCCCGAAGCCAGUGACCCAACCGGAAACGGAGGGAGCUGUCGAAGGUGGGACCGAUAACUGGGGUGAAGUCGUAACAAGGUAUC
rnacentral:rRNA from 1 species